rnacentral:rRNA from 1 species
GUCCACGCCAUAAACGAUGAGAACUGGAUGUCGGGAGGGUCUGCCUCUCGGUGUCGUAGCUAACGCGUUAAGUUCUCCGCCUGGGGAGUACGGCCGCAAGGUUGAAACUCAAAUGAAUUGACUGGGACCCCGCACAAGCGGUGGAGCAUGUGGUUUAAUUCGAUGCAACGCGAAGAACCUUACCUGGUCUUGACAUCCUAGGAAUCCUUCAGAGAUGAGGGAGUGCCUUCGGGAACCUGGAGACAGGUGCUGCAUGGCUGUCGU